rnacentral:tRNA from 1 species
UGGGGUAUCGCCAAGCGGUAAGGCAUCGGACUCUGACUCCGACAUCGGUGGUUCGAAUCCAUCUACCCCAG